rnacentral:rRNA from 1 species
AACAUCGCCUCUUGCAAAAGAGGUCCCGCCUGCCCUGUGACUUUAACGGCCGCGGUAUCCUGACCGUGCAAAGGUAGCGCAAUCACUUGUCUUUUAAAUGGAGACCUGUAUGAAUGGCAUAACGAGGGCUUGACUGUCUCCUCUCCCCAGUCAAUGAAAUUGAUCUUCCCGUGCAGAAGCGGGACUAUCCACAUAAGACGAGAAGACCCUAUGGAGCUUUAGAGCAGCACCCCCUAAAGCUGCCUUCGGUUGGGGCGACCGCGAGGAACAAAAACCCCCGCGUGGAACACCUACAGCCCAGAGCCCCCGCUCUCACAAACAGAACUUCUGACCGACCCGGCUCCGAUCAACGGACCAAGUUACCCUAGGGAUAACAGCGCAAUCCCCUUUUAGAGCCCAUAUCGACAAGGGGGUUUACGACCUCGAUGUUGGAUCAGGACAUCCUAUCCGCUAUUAAG